rnacentral:rRNA from 1 species
GAUUUGUCUGGUUAAUUCCGUUAACGAACGAGACCUUAUCCUGCUAAAUAGUGACUUGUAUCUCCGGAUAUAAGAACACUUCUUAGAGGGACUUCGUGAAUUUAAGCGCAAGGAAGUUUGAGGCAAUAACAGGUCUGUGAUGCCCUUAGAUGUUCUGGGCUGCACGCGCGCUACACUGAUGCGUUCAACGAGCAUAUAACCUUGCCCGGUAGGRAUGGGUAAUCUUUUGAAAACGCAUCGUGAUGGGGAUAGAUUAUUGUAAUUAUUAAUCUUCAACGAGGAAUUCCUAGUAAGUGCGAGUCAUCAGCUCGCGCUGAUUACGUCCCUGCCCUUUGUACACACCGCCCGUCGCUCCUACCGAUUGAGUGGUCCGGUGAAUAAUUCGGACUGGUGCCGAUUUCGGUUCUCCGAGUUCGGCGCUGGGAAGUCUAGUGAACCUUAUCACUUAGAGGAAGGAGAAGUCGUAACAAGGUUUCCGUAGUGAAACCUGCAGAAGGAUCA